rnacentral:rRNA from 1 species
GAUGAACGCUGGCGGCGUGCCUAAUACAUGCAAGUCGAGCGAACAGACGAGGAGCUUGCUCCUCUGACGUUAGCGGCGGACGGGUGAGUAACACGUGGAUACCCUACCUAUAAGACUGGGAUAACUUCGGGAAACCGGAGCUAAUACCGGAUAAUAUAUUGAACCGCAUGGUUCAAUAGUGAAAGCCGGUUUUGCUGACACUUAUAGGUGGAUCCGCGCCGCAUUAGCUAGUUGGUAAGGUAACGGCUUACCAAGGCAACGAUGCGUAGCCGACCUGAGAGGGUGAUCGGCCACACUGGAACUGAGACACGGUCCAGACUCCUACGGGAGGCAGCAGUAGGGAAUCUUCCGCAAAGGGCGAAAGCCUGACGGAGCAACGCCGCGUGAGUGAUGAAGGUCUUCGGAUCGUAAAACUCUGUUAUUAGGGAAGAACAAAUGUGUAAGUAACUAUGCACGUCUUGACGGUACCUAAUCAGAAAGCCACGGCUAACUACGUG